rnacentral:rRNA from 1 species
UGAGGAAUAUUGGUCAAUGGGCGGAAGCCUGAACCAGCCAAGUCGCGUGAGGGAAGAAGGCCCUGCGGGUCGCAGACCUCUUUGGACGGGGAGCAAGGCCGCCGACGUGUCGGCGGAAGGAGAGUACCCGUAGAACAAGCAUCGGCUAACUCCGUGCCAGCAGCCGCGGUAAUACGGAGGAUGCGAGCGUUAUCCGGAUUUAUUGGGUUUAAAGGGUGCGCAGGCGGCACGGCAAGCCGGCGGUCAAAUCGCGGGGCUCAACCCCGCCCAGCCGUCGGAACUGCCGGGCUAGAGUGGGCGAGA